rnacentral:rRNA from 1 species
GAUGAACGCUGGCGGCGUGCCUAAUACAUGCAAGUCGAGCGAACAGACGAGGAGCUUGCUCCUCUGACGUUAGCGGCGGACGGGUGAGUAACACGUGGAUAACCUACCUAUAAGACUGGAAUAACUUCGGGAAACCGGAGCUAAUACCGGAUAACAUGUUGAACCGCAUGGUUCAACAGUGAAAGACGGUUUUGCUGUCACUUAUAGAUGGAUCCGCGCCGCAUUAGCUAGUUGGUAAGGUAACGGCUUACCAAGGCAACGAUGCGUAGCCGACCUGAGAGGGUGAUCGGCCACACUGGAACUGAGACACGGUCCAGACUCCUACGGGAGGCAGCAGUAGGGAAUCUUCCGCAAUGGGCGAAAGCCUGACGGAGCAACGCCGCGUGAGUGAAGAAGGUCUUCGGAUCGUAAAACUCUGUUAUUAGGGAAGAACAAAUGUGUAAGUAACUAUGCACGUCUUGACGGUACCUAAUCAGAAAGCCACGGCUAACUACGUG